rnacentral:lncRNA from 10 species
GCGAGGGUGGGGAAUUUCAGAGGCCUGGGCCCACCGCCUCCACCCCUUCCCCAGUUUAACCUUUGACAGGAUCUUCACCUCUCUCUGAUCAGCAUUGCUUCUUGUUCAAAGGCCUCAGCCACCCAGCUGUGUCCCUUUCCCCAGAAAGCAAGGGCAGAUGGCAGUGGGUCUGUUGAUGAGAGAACUUUAAGGGCCCAAUCAGUCCCUGGGCACCCCCUCCUGGGCUCGUUUUCUCCAGGAGGCUGCAUUCUGAUCCAUAAACCUUCUCCUCGGGGUUUAGGGUCGAGCUGUUCCUGAUGUUUAUCGGAGACUGGGAUCAAAGCUAUCCAGGUCAUAAAUCUCUCUCUGUGGCUGUUGGGCCCCAGGGCAGCUGAAGAGGGUUGACAGCCCUUUGGACCUCAAAGGAAAAAAUGUGCUCUACUCCACCCACUCCCAGCUCUGCCAAGAAGCUGUCCUCUGAGAAGCCAUGGCUGGGCCGUUCCAUUCUGGGGAGCUGCUGAAAAGAGCUGGGAGGCCGAGAAGAACUUGCGUGUGCUGGGGGAGAGGAAGCCUGGCCUUGAGGGAGGGGUGCAGGUGUGGCUCCUCUGUGUGUGGGGGCUGGGGGACCUUGUGUGCCUUUUCCUUGUGGCUGUGAAAUGCUUUAUGAGUACUUCCAUAGGAGGAUGGACAGGGAGUCGGGGAGAUAAACUCAGCCACAAGGCCCCAGGGCCUCAGGAAACUUGCACCCAACCCUCUCAUUUUACAGAAGAAAACUGUGCCUGGAAGGUUGAAGGGUUUGUUCCCAGUCACACAACCAGGGAUCCUUAGGACAGCCAGACCAGGAAACCAUUUCCAAACUGCCAAGCCAUGGCAGAGUAUCAAGACCUCAGGAACCAUCGAGACACCAUGGAAGCAUUGGGAAAAGCCUCCUUAGCUUUUGAAGCUCCUCAUUGUUCUUGAGUGUGCAUGGAGCCCAUGACUGCGGGGUUUUGUAGACACCUCAGGGAUUACAUGACUGGUACCCCUGACAAAGUCAAGGCUGCUGGACAAAAUGAGUCCGAGGAUUUCAGGGGCAGCUGGGCGCAGGAGCUGGUGGGCUGUUGGGAGUGCCCCUUUACUGGGCAGGCUUCCUUCCUCCUGGUGAUGGGGGGUUCCUCAGCACAAAAGUGAAGGGGUGGAGGGGCUGGAGGAGCAGGAAUCUCUCUUGUUGAUAGGUAUGAGGCCUUGAAGUCCUUUUCUUUGUCCCAGGAUUCAUGGACGCUUCGGGGCUGAUCUUUGAGUUUUCAAGCAUGGGGUGCAGAGACGUUUAGGUAAACUCUUACCGUCCUCUCUCUUCGUCAGGGCUUCCCAGGAAUCAACAAUGCCCAAGAAGGAAGGGAUUGUAGAAAUAGCUUAACCCUUUCAUUUACCAACGUGGAAAUUGAAGCCCAGGGAAGGGAAGGGACCGGUCGUGGAAGGGAGAGCCAUCAGCAGAAAGAGACCCUGAGAUCUUCGCCUGGGAUUCCCAGGAAGUCCAGCCCGAGCUGAUUCACAGAACAAAUGCAUGCAAACCUUGCUAUCAAUAAAUUACACAUGCACUUACGUAAAA